rnacentral:tRNA from 1 species
GGGGAUGUAGCUCAGUGGUAGAGUGCUUGCUUAGCAUAUGUCAGACCCUAGGUUUGAUUCCCUAGUACCCCUC